AACACCCGGUCCCAUUCCGAACCCGGUAGUUAAGCCUUCCAGCGCCGAUGGUACUGCACUCGUGAGGGUGUGGGAGAGUAGGACGCCGCCGAAC
rfam:Saccharothrix sp. NRRL B-16348 P442contig32.1, whole genome shotgun sequence.